AAAAUGGAUCCAGUAUUAAAAAUUUGAAGGGCUUUUCAAAAUUGUUAGUAGAAAAAUAGGUCUAUCGGAAUACCAUAGGCCUAAAUCUGAUAGGCCUAUGGGAAUUUAAAGAGAAAAUGGGUAAAUUUGUAAAAGGAAAUGGAUCGAGAAGAGAAAAUUUGUGGGGCUUUUCAAAAUUGUUAGUAGAAAAAAUAGGUCUAUCAGAAUACCAUAGGCCUAAAUCUGAUACCUAUGCAAAUUUAGGAGAAAAAAAAUUAGUUUGUGACAUUUUGUAAAAAAAAUUAGUACAAAAAAAGCAGGCCUAUAAGACUAGCAUAGGCCUAAAUCUGAUAGACCUAUGUAGUUCUAGAAAAAAAACAGCAAAAUUACCUAGAAACAAUGAUACAAAAAUACUAAAUAAUAACAAUAACAAGGGUAUUUCAUAUAAUAGUGUAGGCCUAUGAGACUAGCAUAGGUCUAAAUCUGAUAGGUCUAGGAAGUUGUAGGGAAAAAUGCAAAAUAUAAAACAGAAUUUAUAUAUAGAUUUGAAUUUUUUGUUAUUUUUGUAGGUUUAAAAAAUUUGCACAAAAGGUAUAGGCCUAUCAGACUAGCAUAGGUCUAAAUCUGAUAGGCCUAUGGAGUUGUAGAAGGAAAAAUGAAAAAAAAAAUAAUAUAAAGAUGUUUGAAAUUUUUGUAGCUUAAAAAAUAAUACAAAAAGGUAUAGGCCUAUCAGACUAGCAUAGGUCUAAAUCUGAUAGGCCUAUGGAGUUGUAGAAGGAAAAAUGCAAAAAAAAUUAAUAUAAAGAUGUUUGUCAUUUUUGUAGCUUAAAAAAAAUAAUACAAAAAGGUAUAGGCCUAUCAGACUAGCAUAGGUCUAAAUCUGAUAGGCCUAUGGAGUUGUAGAAGGAAAUAUGCAAAAAAAAAAAAAUUAAUAUAAAGAUGUUUGUCAUUUUUGUAGCUUAAAAAAAACUAAUACAAAAAGGUAUAGGCCUAUCAGACUAGCAUAGGUCUAAAUCUGAUAGGCCUAUGGAGUUGUAGAAGGAAAUAUGCAAAAAAAAAAUUAAUAUAAAGAUUUGUCAUUUUUGUAGCUUAAAAAAAACUAAUACAAAAAGGUAUAGGCCUAUGAGACUAGCAUAGGUCUAAAUCUGAUAGGCCUAUGGAGUUGUAGAAGGAAAUAUGCAAAAAAAAAAAAAAUAAUAUAAAGAUGUUUCUGUCAUUUUUGUAGCUUAGAAAAAAAUAAUACAAAAAGGUAUAGGCCUAUGAGACUAGCAUAGGCCUAAAUCUGAUAGGCCUAUGAAGAGACAAAAAUUACCUGGGAAAACAAUGACAAAAUUACAAAAAACACAAAAUAAUAACAAUAAUAAGGCUCUGACAAAAAAUAUGCCUACCUCAUUACCAUAGGCCUAAAUCUACUAAAUUCUGAAGAAAAUGGGUAAAUUAGUGAAAGAAAAUGGACUGAGUAUAGAAAAUGGGAGGGACUUUACAAAAUCUUAAUAGAAAAAAAUUGUAGGCCUGAGACUCAGAUAGGCCUAAAUCUUGUAGGCUUAUGGAGUUUUUGAGGGAAGACAAAAAAAUACGAAGAAAAAUAUUAAAAUACACAAAAAAUUACCUGAGAGAGAGAGAGAGAGAGAGAGAGAGAGAGAGAGAGAGAGAGAGAGAGAGAGAGAGAGAGAGAGAGAGA